rnacentral:tRNA from 1 species
GGGGCUAUGGCUCAAUGGCUGAGCAUCUGCUUGGCAUCUAAAAGUUCCUAGGUUCAAUCCCCAGCAUCUCCA